rnacentral:rRNA from 1 species
GGCCUAUCAGCUAGUUGGUGGGGUAACGGCCUACCAAGGCGACGACGGGUAGCCGGCCUGAGAGGGCGACCGGCCACACUGGGACUGAGACACGGCCCAGACUCCUACGGGAGGCAGCAGUGGGGAAUAUUGCGCAAUGGGCGAAAGCCUGACGCAGCGACGCCGGGCGUGGGGGAUGACUGCCUUCGGGUUGUAAACCCCUUUCAGCAGGGACGAAGCUUUCGGGUGACGGGUACCUGCAGAAGAAGCGCCGGCUAACUACGUGCCAGCAGCCGCGGUAACACGUAGGGCGCAAGCGUUGUCCGGAAUCAUUGGGCGUAAAGGGCGCGUAGGCGGUGUACACAGUCAAUGGCGUGAAAUUCCCGGGCUCAACCUGGGGGCUGCGCUUGAUACAUGUACGCUUGAGUUCGGAAGAGGGUCGUGGAAUUCCCAGUGUAGAGGUGAAAUUCGUAGAUAUUGGGAAGAACACCGGUGGCGAAGGCGGCGACCUGGUCCGAUACUGACGCUGAGGCGCGAAAGCGUGGGGAGCA